CGUCCAUGAUUGCGGACUGUUUCGGUAAUCAGACAAUUAAUUAUUACGAAUAGUAUUUCAAACUAUUCAAUAAUUCAUUAAUAUUUCUGAAGCAUUCAUUGAUUUAUUCAUUUCUCAAUUUCUUAAUUUAUUGGUUGAUUGAUUGAUUUAUUGAUUUAUUCAUUCAUUUAUAUAUUCAUCCAUUUAUUCAUCCAUCAAGUUCACCAUUUAUUUAUUCAUCGAAUUAUAAAUUCACACGUGAUGCCUAUAUAUUCUCAACGCGAAGCAACCGUUGCGUCUAUGAUUGCAGACUGUUUCACUGUUUUUCGUCUUGGAUACAACGGCAGUUCAGCUUCAGUAUGGCUUCAGCGACAGAAGAGGCGACAUCAGGAGCGACAUGAGGAGCGACAUCAGUAGCAACGCAGGUUCCUCAGAGCGACGAUGGAAAGAGGGAACGGUGAGCAAGCUUUCGAGCACAAUUCAGUUGAACAUUGUUAAAAUCAGUUGCGCUAACUUUUUAUUUGUACUUUGAUCACGCUCUUCCGACUAUUCGUACUAAGAACCGUCGUUAUUAAUAUACUCGCCCGGGUUCUCAACAGCCUUUUGAAAUUCCGAGAGAUGACCUUUCAAUUGAAUUAUAAGCUCUUAAUUUUAUCUUCCGGCAUUU
rnacentral:misc_RNA from 1 species